rnacentral:rRNA from 1 species
GGGAAAGAUGAAAAGAACUUUGGAAAGAGAGUUAAACAGUACGUGAAAUUGUUGAAAGGGAAACGCUUGAAGUCAGUCGCAUCUGCUGGGGAUCAACCUUGCUUCUUGCUUGGCUUACUUCCUAGUUGAUGGGUCAGCAUCAAUUUUGAUCAGUGGAAAAAGUUCAAGGGAAUGUGGCACCUUUGGGUGUGUUAUAGCCUUUGUUCAUAUGCAUUGGUUGGGAUUGAGGAAUUCAGCACGCCGGCAAGGCCGGGCUCUUUGACCACGUACGUGCUUACGAUGCUGGCAUAAUGGCUUUAAUCGACCCGUCUUGAAACACGGACCAAGGAGUCUAACAUGCCCGCGAGUGUUUGGGUGGAAAACCCGGACGCGUAAUGAAAGUGAAGGUUGAGAUCCCUGUCGUGGGGAGCAUCGACGCCCGGACUAGAACUUUUGUGACGGAUCCGCGGUAGAGCGUGUAUGUUGGGACCCGAAAGAUGGUGAACUAUGCCCUGAAUA